GGCGAACGGGUGAGUAACACGUGAGUAACCUGCCCUUGACUCUGGGAUAAGCCUGGGAAACUGGGUCUAAUACCGGAUAUGACUCCUCAUCGCAUGGUGGGGGGUGGAAAGCUUUUGUGGUUUUGGAUGGACUCGCGGCCUAUCAGCUUGUUGGUGGGGUAAUGGCCUACCAAGGCGACGACGGGUAGCCGGCCUGAGAGGGUGACCGGCCACACUGGGACUGAGACACGGCCCAGACUCCUACGGGAGGCAGCAGUGGGGAAUAUUGCACAAUGGGCGCAAGCCUGAUGCAGCGACGCCGCGUGAGGGAUGACGGCCUUCGGGUUGUAAACCUCUUUCAGUAGGGAAGAAGCGUAAGUGACGGUACCUGCAGAAGAAGCGCCGGCUAACUACGUGCCAGCAGCCGCGGUAAUACGUAGGGCGCAAGCGUUAUCCGGAAUUAUUGGGCGUAAAGAGCUCGUAGGCGGUUUGUCGCGUCUGCUGUGAAAGACCGGGGCUCAACUCCGGUUCUGCAGUGGGUACGGGCAGACUAGAGUGCAGUAGGGGAGACUGGAAUUCCUGGUGUAGCGGUGAAAUGCGCAGAUAUCAGGAGGAACACCGAUGGCGAAGGCAGGUCUCUGGGCUGUAACUGACGCUGAGGAGCGAAAGCAUGGGGAGCGAACAGGAUUAGAUACCCUGGUAGUCCAUGCCGUAAACGUUGGGCACUAGGUGUGGGGGACAUUCCACGUUUUCCGCGCCGUAGCUAACGCAUUAAGUGCCCCGCCUGGGGAGUACGGCCGCAAGGCUAAAACUCAAAGGAAUUGACGGGGGCCCGCACAAGCGGCGGAGCAUGCGGAUUAAUUCGAUGCAACGCGAAGAACCUUACCAAGGCUUGACAUGAACCGGAAAGACCUGGAAACAGGUGCCCCGCUUGCGGUCGGUUUACAGGUGGUGCAUGGUUGUCGUCAGCUCGUGUCGUGAGAUGUUGGGUUAAGUCCCGCAACGAGCGCAACCCUCGUUCUAUGUUGCCAGCGGUUCGGCCGGGGACUCAUAGGAGACUGCCGGGGUCAACUCGGAGGAAGGUGGGGACGACGUCAAAUCAUCAUGCCCCUUAUGUCUUGGGCUUCACGCAUGCUACAAUGGCCGGUACAAAGGGUUGCGAUACUGUGAGGUGGAGCUAAUCCCAAAAAGCCGGUCUCAGUUCGGAUUGGGGUCUGCAACUCGACCC
rnacentral:rRNA from 1 species